rnacentral:tRNA from 1 species
GAGGGUAUAGCUCAAAGGGCAGAGCGCAUGCUUAGCAUGCACGAGGUUCUGGGUUCAGUCCCCAAUACACUCU